rnacentral:rRNA from 1 species
CUGACACUAGUACGAGAGGACCGUGUUGGACUGACCGCUGGUCAAUCUGUUGUUUCGCCAGGAGCAUGGCAGAGUAGCUAAGUCGGGAACGGAUAAGCGCUGAAAGCAUCUAAGCGCGAAGCCAGCCUCGAGAUAAGAUUUCCACAUGAGGGACGUCGAAGACGACGACGUAGAUAGGUUGCAGAUGUAAAGCCAGCAAUGACAAAGUCGAGCAAUACUAAUUACCCCAACACUUCCCA